ACAUGCAAGUCGAACGGAAACGAUACUAGCUUGCUAGUAGGCGUCGAGUGGCGGACGGGUGAGUAACGCGUAGGAAUCUGCCUGAUAGUGGGGGAUAGCCCGGAGAAAUUCGGAUUAAUACCGCAUAAUCUAUUCGUAGUAAAGUGGGGGACUUUCGAGCCUCACGCUAUCAGAUGAGCCUGCGUAAGAUUAGCUUGUUGGUAGGGUAAAAGCCUACCAAGGCGACGAUCUUUAGCUGGUCUGAGAGGAUGAUCAGCCACAUCGGGACUGAGACACGGCCCGAACUCCUACGGGAGGCAGCAGUGGGGAAUAUUGGACAAUGGGGGCAACCCUGAUCCAGCAAUACCGCGUGUGUGAAGAAGGCCUGAGGGUUGUAAAGCACUUUCAAUUGUGAAGAAAAGUUAACGGUUAAUAACCGUUAGCCUUGACGUUAACUUUAGAAGAAGCACCGGCUAACUCCGUGCCAGCAGCCGCGGUAAUACGGAGGGUGCAAGCGUUAAUCGGAAUUACUGGGCGUAAAGCGUGCGUAGGUGGUUUAUUAAGUCAGAUGUGAAAGCCCCGGGCUUAACCUGGGAACUGCAUUUGAAACUGGUAAACUAGAGUAUGGUAGAGGAAAGUGGAAUUUCUGGUGUAGCGGUGAAAUGCGUAGAUAUCAGAAGGAACAUCAAUGGCGAAGGCAGCUUUCUGGACCAAUACUGACACUGAGGUACGAAAGCGUGGGUAGCAAACAGGAUUAGAUACCCUGGUAGUCCACGCCGUAAACGAUGAUAACUAGCCGUUGGGGGGAUUUACCCUUUAGUGGCGAAGCUAACGCGUUAAGUUAUCCGCC
rnacentral:rRNA from 1 species